CGGGGUGCAGCAGGCGCGAAAACUUUACAAUGCUGGAAACAGCGAUAAGGGGACCUCGAGUGCCAGGUUACAAAUCUGGCUGUCGUGAUGCCUAAAAAGCAUUGCAUAGCAAGGGCCGGGCAAGACCGGUGCCAGCCGCCGCGGUAACACCGGCGGCUCGAGUGGUAACCGUUAUUAUUGGGUCUAAAGGGUCUGUAGCCGGCCGGAUAAGUCUCUUGGGAAAUCCAGCAGCUCAACUGUUGGGCUUUCAGGAGAUACUGUCUGGCUCGAGGCCGGGAGAGGUGAGAGGUACUUCAGGGGUAGGGGUGAAAUCUUGUAAUCCUUGAAGGACCACCAGUGGCGAAGGCGUCUCACCAGAACGGACCUGACGGCAAGGGACGAAAGCUAGGGGCACGAACCGGAUUAGAUACCCGGGUAGUCCUAGCCGUAAACGAUACUCGCUAGGUGUCGGCCACGGUGCGACCGUUGUCGGUGCCGUAGGGAAGCCGUGAAGCGAGCCACCUGGGAAGUACGGCCGCAAGGCUGAAACUUAAAGGAAUUGGCGGGGGA
rnacentral:rRNA from 1 species